UCAUAGCUCAGCUGGAUAGAGUACUCGGCUACGAACCGAGCGGUCGGAGGUUCGAAUCCUCCUGA
rnacentral:tRNA from 1 species